GUGAAUGCUAGUGAUAUGCUUAACACAUGCAAGUCGAACGGACAGAAAUUGUCAGUGGCGUACGGGUGCGUAAUGUAGAAGAACUGAUACGAGAGUAAGGGAUAGUAAGUAUUUAGAAUACCUUAUAGUGAAAGAUUAAUAUCGCUUUUGGGAGGGCUUCUAUAGGAUUAGGUUGUUGGUUAGGUAAUGGCUGACCAAGCCGAGGAUCUUUAGCUGGUCUUAGCGGAUGAUCAGCCACGCUGGGACUGGAAAAGGCCCAGACUCCCACGGGGGGCAGCAGUGAGGAAUAUUGGACAAUGGGCGAAAGCUUGAUCCAGCAAUAUCACGUGAGUGAGAUGAAGGCGUAUAGGCCCGUAAAGCUCAAAGACUAAGGAGGAUAAUGACGUUACUUAGUGGAAAGUCCUGGCUAACUUCGU
rnacentral:rRNA from 1 species